rnacentral:rRNA from 1 species
CAGUCGCCACGGUAAUACGAAGGGUGCAAGCAUUAAUCGGAAUUACUGGGCGUAAAGCGUGCGUAGGCGGUGAGUUAAGUCUGCUGUGAAAUCCCCGGGCUCAACCUGGGAAUGGCAGUGGAUACUGGCUCGCUAGAGUGUGUCAGAGGAUGGUGGAAUUCCCGGUGUAGCGGUGAAAUGCGUAGAGAUCGGGAGGAACAUCAGUGGCGAAGGCGACUAUCUGGGCCAACACUGACACUGAGGCACGAAAGCAGGGGGAGCAAACAGGAUUAGAUACCCCUGUAGUCCCUGUCUCUUAUAC